UGGGGAAUAUUGCACAAUGGGCGCAAGCCUGAUGCAGCCAUGCCGCGUGUGUGAAGAAGGCCUUCGGGUUGUAAAGCACUUUCAGCGGGGAGGAAGGCGGUGAGGUUAAUAACCUCAUCGAUUGACGUUACCCGCAGAAGAAGCACCGGCUAACUCCGUGCCAGCAGCCGCGGUAAUACGGAGGGUGCAAGCGUUAAUCGGAAUUACUGGGCGUAAAGCGCACGCAGGCGGUCUGUCAAGUCGGAUGUGAAAUCCCCGGGCUUAACCUGGGAACUGCAUUCGAAACUGGCAGGCUAGAGUCUUGUAGAGGGGGGUAGGAUUCCAGGUGUGGCGGUGAAAUGCGUAGACAUCUGGCGGGAUACCGGUGGCGAAGGCGGCCCCCUGGACAAAGAAUGACGCUCAGGUGCGAAAGCGUGGGGAGCAAACAGG
rnacentral:rRNA from 1 species